GAUCAUGGGCUCAGGAUGAACGCUAGCGGCAGGCUUAACACAUGCAAGUCGAGGGGCAGCGGGGUGUAGCAAUACACUGCCGGCGACCGGCGCACGGGUGCGUAACGCGUAUGCAACCUACCCAUAACAGGGGCAUAACACUGAGAAAUUGGUACUAAUUCCCCAUAACAUUCGAAGAGGCAUCUCUUUGGGUUGAAAACUCCGGUGGUUAUGGAUGGGCAUGCGUUGUAUUAGCUAGUUGG
rnacentral:rRNA from 1 species